rnacentral:rRNA from 1 species
UGGCGGGACGGGGUGGAGUAAUGUCUGGGAAACGGCCCGAUGGAGGGGGAUAACUACUGGAAACGGUAGCUAAUACCGCAUAACGUCGCAAGACCAAAGAGGGGGACCUUCGGGCCUCUUGCCAUCGGAUGUGCCCAGAUGGGAUUAGCUAGUAGGUGGGGUAACGGCUCACCUAGGCGACGAUCCCUAGCUGGUCUGAGAGGAUGACCAGCCACACUGGAACUGAGACACGGUCCAG